rnacentral:lncRNA from 1 species
ACGUUGCAUUAUCAUUAUAGCAUCAUAAGUGUAUGUCUGGAAUAACAAGUACAAAAACAGUAAAUCAAGCUAGUUUAAGUACAAAAGAUCCUCUUCGUCUUCUUCCUCAUUGACCUUAUCAUGUGUUCUUUUUCUUUUACAAACACUUCGUCCAUGUCCUGAAUUUUUUUGCAUCAACAUAAAGCAUGAAUUUUACAGUAAAUACAUAAUCAUUAUGCAGUAACAUAAAGCCUCAAUUGGGAAGGGGUGAUCCUGACUUUUUUUUGCAGUAACACAAACCAUAAUUUUUUUACAGUAACCCGACAUUCAUGUAGUAUCAUAAAACCCUAAAAUGCCUCAUUUUUUUUAGCAACGAAAGCAUGAAAUUUUACAGUAACAUAAUUAUCAUGCAGUAACACAAAACCUCAAAAGGGAGGAAAUCCUGGGGUUUUCAGCAGAAACACAAAAUAGUAAUUUUUCUGUAAUCUAACUAAUUUAUGUAGUAGAUCGAAGCCUGAAUUUGCGGUAGGGAGGGGGCCAGAAUUAUUUAUGCAGUAAAACAAAUCCUGAAUUUGCAGUAAAAAAAAUUUUAUACAGUAACAACAUCGACGUAGCAGUUUUUUAGGUUCAAGGGACUACGAACCUAUGGCAAUGAUGGUGGGAAGAAGCCCCAAAUCGUCGCUGCUGUAGGGAGGGAUGGAUGGGAGGGGGG